rnacentral:lncRNA from 1 species
AUUUAUUCAACUUUGAUCCUUUUGACUUGACCAAUUUAAUUACUUACUUUGACUAAAUAAUUUCUUGACUUUGACCAUAAUGAAUGGGGUGUAACGAGAUGGAGGAAUUCGUCGCCAAGUUUAAUAAGUCUUCCUGAGCUUUCUUGGCACAAUACUGUGCAAAUAGUCAUGACAGGUUUUUUUAUGAUAGCACAGUAUGGGGAGAGGCGAUGAAAGGGGGAGUGAUAGGCAUUGGUUUUAUGUGUGUUCCAGCCAUUUAUUGAUACCAUUGUUGCCAGAAUUAAGGUUAAGUGUCAAACAGCUGAAGAAAGGAGCCGACUAGGGAUGACUUAUGCCAAAGUCACGGCAAAUGUAUGGGCAUCGCAAAAUGCCGAACAUCGGGCAUUGUUGCAUAAGGAAAAGGCGAAAAAUGAGAGGAUCAUAAUGCCAAAUUAAUAGCCUGCAUCCAGGUGUUGAAAGGGGAAUUGGAUAAAUUGCUCAAGGUAGCGGAAAGUGGAUCCAUAGUGGUCCAGGUAGACGUUGCCACAAGUGUGGGGUGAGAUUGGAUGAGUCUCUAACCAAUGGAAAACAUGUAGCGAAUUUGAAUUCUAAGGAGCUAUCAUUGAUAUGGGCCCAAACUAACGAUAAGUAGUGGUGGAUAAACCUAGUGGCUAGUCUCAAAUGCAGAUUGAAGUGGUGAUUUCCUCUGGUGAUGGAAAUUGGGGUGAGAUGGAGGGAACAGAUAGGGAAGAAAUAGACCCAAUGAUCAAGGCACACCGAGAAACGGAACCUUGGGCCAAAGUAAAGAAGCCGGGUAUUACGAGUAUGGACUCAGAGAUAUUGGAAGUGAAUGGUCAAUUAUUUUACGAUUGCGGGUGCAUUGGACACGAUUCCGCCUAUAAAGGGAUCAGGGACAGAUCCAGCACCUGGUGAGCACCUAUCGUGAGUGCUGGAUCUGUCGGAAUGUUUAGUUGCAUUCGGAACGGCCGGGUUGUAGCCUGUAGGUGCACCUGUGUAGGGUUUGCAGAAUGCAGAGCCAGAGACAAAGGGGGAAGAAAGAAGAUGACUUUCAUUUUUUUUUCUUUGGGGCUUGGGUUGAUGAUCGGAAUUGGACGGGCCUCUUUUUGUUUAAAAAAAAUUAGCCCCAAUAGAAGAUCCAUCAUCCAUAGUAUUAAUUUCCCCCAACCCAAAUCAACCAACAACCCAACUCCAAAUCCCCAACAUUUGAAAGUUAAAAUGGGUAGGGCAAACUGAGCAAAGAUCCAAAGAUGUAAAGACCCAAACCCAAAGUGCAAACCUUUCCUUCCAUUUCCAUUCGAAGCAGAAGCAGCCGUAGGGCCUCACGCCUACGAUGUGCGAAGUGGGAACUAGGAAGUGUUAUUGACCUGUGUUUCAACACUGGUUGUAAGUUUACAGUUUUCUGGAAACUCAAGCAUCGGUCACGAAUGUGAGUCCUUUUAUUCUUUUAUCUUGUUUUGAAUGUUAGUCUUACUUGAUGUGAGAUAUAUCAUGAUUUUUGACAUAUGUACUCUGUAUUAUUUUUAUUUUUUGGGGAAAAAAGUUGUAACAACAUAGUUACUUUGUAGAGUUGGUUUGCUUUUAUAAGUUCACUAGCCGUUCACUUGGUUAAAUGUACAAUAUCACAUUUAUUUGUUAUUUUAAUUGAAAUAUAUGAAAGGAAUCACUGUCUUUUUGAGCAAAAUCCUUGUAAAAAAUGCUAAAUCAACAAAGAAUAUUUGAAUUAGAGUGGAGAUCAAGUAGAGUGCCACAACAGAGAGAAAAAGGGGAAAUUUUUAGAUUACAGGACGUGUCUAACAAGUAAUUUUGGCCAUUCGUUUUGCGGGUAACAAUGAGAAAUGAAAUGUUGUAAUGGAAAACCAAAGCACUGGCUAAUAUGAGCUUAAAUUACCAGUUCCUAGAAACUAUUUUUCUUGUGAUGGAGAUCCCUCAUACCUGAUUUUUGGUGGCGCAUCCAGGGAAAGUUAUGGGCUGAAAAGCAUCUACCCAUCUUUUGGGGCACCUCAUCUUGCCAUUUUUCAUUCCCAUUAGGCUAAAGUGUUUGGUGUUUUCUUCAUAUAGAAAUGCAAAUUAGGAGUUAUUACUGAGG